ACACGAGCGGCGAACGGGUGAGUAACACGUGGGUGAUCUGCCUCGCACUUCGGGAUAAGCCUGGGAAACUGGGUCUAAUACCGGAUAUGACCUUCCAGUGCAUGCUGGUUGGUGGAAAGAUUUAUCGGUGCGAGAUGGGCCCGCGGCCUAUCAGCUUGUUGGCGGGGUAACGGCCCACCAAGGCGACGACGGGUAGCCGACCUGAGAGGGUGACCGGCCACACUGGGACUGAGACACGGCCCAGACUCCUACGGGAGGCAGCAGUGGGGAAUAUUGCACAAUGGGCGAAAGCCUGAUGCAGCGACGCCGCGUGAGGGAUGACGGCCUUCGGGUUGUAAACCUCUUUCGACAGGGACGAAGCGAAAGUGACGGUACCUGUAGAAGAAGCACCGGCCAACUACGUGCCAGCAGCCGCGGUAAUACGUAGGGUGCGAGCGUUGUCCGGAAUUACUGGGCGUAAAGAGCUUGUAGGCGGUCUGUCGCGUCUUCUGUGAAAACUUGGGGCUCAACCUUAAGCUUGCAGGCGAUACGGGCAGACUAGAGUACUUCAGGGGAGACUGGAAUUCCUGGUGUAGCGGUGAAAUGCGCAGAUAUCAGGAGGAACACCGGUGGCGAAGGCGGGUCUCUGGGAAGUAACUGACGCUGAGAAGCGAAAGCGUGGGUAGCGAACAGGAUUAGAUACCCUGGUAGUCCACGCCGU
rnacentral:rRNA from 1 species